GCUGCUCAACUGGAUCCAACUUUGCUCAACUCCGAAGACGAAGGUGGUGCCUAGGUGUUCUUCCUGCUUUCAUUCUGACUUAUGUAAAAAUUUAUCUGUUUAAACUUUUUACGUUUUUGGGAUUAUUUUGAAAUUUUAUAUAUUUUUACGUUUUCUAUAUUGGUGUAUUUAGUUCAUAAAUGAAUAGAUCGAAUGAAUGUUUUAGUUUUUCUGAUGAAUCUGUAAUUUCCUUAAUUGUGAACUAUGUUUUCGGUUAGUUUCUUGUCAAUA
rnacentral:lncRNA from 1 species